CCUACGGGGGGCAGCAGUGGGGAAUAUUGCGCAAUGGGGGGAACCCUGACGCAGCAACGCCGCGUGAAGGAAGAAGGCCUUCGGGUCGUAAACUUUUGUCUUUAGGGAAGAAUUUUGACGGUACCUAAGGAGGAAGCCACGGCUAACUACGUGCCAGCAGCCGCGGUAAUACGUAGGUGGCGAGCGUUGUCCGGAUUUACUGGGUGUAAAGGGUGCGUAGGCGGUAGGGCAAGUCAGAUGUGAAAGCCCGGGGCUCAACCCCGGGAUUGCAUUUGAAACUGUCUUACUAGAGUGCAGGAGAGGAAAGCGGAAUUCCUAGUGUAGCGGUGAAAUGCGUAGAUAUUAGGAAGAACACCAGUGGCGAAGGCGGCUUUCUGGACUGUAACUGACGCUGAGGCACGAAAGCGUGGGGAGCAAACAGGAUUAGAUACCCUUGUAGUC
rnacentral:rRNA from 1 species